rnacentral:rRNA from 1 species
UACGUAGGUGGCAAGCGUUGUCCGGAAUUAUUGGGCGUAAAGCGCGCGCAGGUGGUUUCUUAAGUCUGAUGUGAAAGCCCCCGGCUCAACUGGGGAGGGUCACGCGAUACUGAUCGACUCGAAGGCAGGAGAGGGUAGUGGAAUUCCCGGUGUAGUGGUGAAAUGCGUAGAUAUCGGGAGGAACACCAGUGGCGAAGGCGACUACCUGGCCUGUUCUUGACGCUGAGGCGCGAAAGCUAGGGGAGCAAACGGG